rnacentral:rRNA from 1 species
UACAGAGGGUGCGAGCGUUAAUCGGAAUUACUGGGCGUAAAGCGCACGUAGGCGGCUUGGUAUGUCGGGUGUGAAAUCCCCGGGCUCAACCUGGGAACUGCAUCCGAAACUGCCUUGCUCGAGUAUGGGAGAGGGAAGUGGAAUUUCCGGUGUAGCGGUGAAAUGCGUAGAUAUCGGGAGGAACACCAAUGGCGAAGGCAGCUCGCUGGGACGUUACUGACGCUGAGACGCGAAAGCGUGGGGAG